rnacentral:misc_RNA from 1 species
UACGAAGGUGGCAAGCGUUACUCGGAAUGACUAGGCGUAAAGGGCAGGUAGGUGGCCUCGUAAGUCUGCUGUGAAAGCUCCCGGCUUAACCGGGAGAGGUCAGCAGAAACUGUGGGGCUUGAGUAUGGGAGAGGUAACUGGAAUUCCCGGUGUAGCGGUGAAAUGCGCAGAGAUCGGGAGGAACACCAAUGGCGAAAGCAAGUUACUGGACCAUUACUGACACUCAGCUGCGAAAGCUAGGGGAGCAAACAGG